rnacentral:rRNA from 1 species
CUACGGGAGGCAGCAGUAGGGAAUAUUGCACAAUGGACGAAAGUCUGAUGCAGCAACGCCGCGUGUGCGAAGAAGGCCUUCGGGUUGUAAAGCACUUUUGGCGGGGAAGAGGAAGGACAGUACCCGCAGAAUAAGCCUCGGCUAACUACGUGCCGGCAGCCGCGGUAACACGUAGGAGGCGAGCGUUAUCCGGAUUUACUGGGCGUAAAGCGCGUGCAGGCGGUUAUGUAAGUUGGAUGUGAAAGCUCCUGGCUUAACUAGGAGAGGUCGUUCAAAACUGCGUAACUGGAGUGUGAAAGAGGGAGGUAGAAUUCCGAGUGUAGUGGUGAAAUGCGUAGAUAUUCGGAGGAAUACCAGAGGCGAAGGCGGCCUCCUGGUUCACAACUGACGCUGAGACGCGAAAGCUAGGGUAGCAAACGGGAUUAGAUACCCUUGUAGUC